AUGGCAGCAGUGCCGCACGUCGUCAUCCUCACGAGCUCCGGCUUGGGCCACGUCCUCCCGGCGUCCGAGCUGGCGAAGCGCCUCGCCGUGCACCACGGCUUCACCAUCACAAUGGUCACUUACGCCAGCUUGUCCUCGCCCGGCCACUCCUCGCCGCUCGCCUCCCUCCCGCCGGGCGUCUCCGUCGCCGCGCUGCCGGAGGUGUCCCUCGACGACCUCCCCGCCGACGCGCACUUGGUGACUCGCAUCCUCACCGUCAUCACUCGCGCCCUGCCAGCGCUGCGCGACCUACUACGCUCCCUCCUCCACCUCCCGGCGGGGAUCACAGCCUUCGUGACCGACAUGCUCUGCCCCGCGGCGCUCGCCGUGGGCAAGGAGAUGGGUCUUCCUGGCGACCGCAGGCUCAAGACCAGUACACACCCUUGUGCAUGA
rnacentral:rRNA from 1 species